UUGUCUCUCCAAUAUGCCUAUGAGCUGAAAUUUGGCAAGAGUAGCAAAUCUAUUAACCAUCCAAAAGCUGGCAUUUGGAGACUAAACAUCAAUCCUUGAGAGACAAAAAGAGUACUGGGGUUUAUAAUGAUAAUGAUGAUUAAUAGCCAAAAUGCUCAAGAAGACAGAAAGCUGAGUACAUAAUAGAAUUAAUAUUAAAUAUAACCAAACCUUUUAUUUUGGGUAAAUUGCGCAACACAUUCUUACAUCUAAGUCUAACAAA
rnacentral:misc_RNA from 1 species